rnacentral:rRNA from 1 species
CCUACGGGAGGCAGCAGUGAGGAAUAUUGGUCAAUGGCCGAGAGGCUGAACCAGCCAAGUCGCGUGAGGGAAGACGGCCCUACGGGUUGUAAACCUCUUUUGCCGGGGAGCAGUGGUCCGGACGCGUCCGGACCGGGUGAGUACCCGGAGAAAAAGCAUCGGCUAACUCCGUGCCAGCAGCCGCGGUAAUACGGGGGCUGCGAGCGUUAUCCGGAUUUAGUGGGUUUAAGGGGUGCGUAGGCGGGCAUUUAAGCCGGCGGUCAAAUGUCGGGGCUCAACCCAGGCCUGCCGUCGGAACUGGGUGCCUUGAGUGGGCGAGAAGUAUGCGGAAUGCGUGGUGUAGCGGUGAAAUGCAUAGAUAUCACGCAGAACCCCGAUUGCGAAGGCAGCAUACCGGCGCCCUACUGACGCUGAGGCACGAAAGUGCGGGUAUCGAACAGGAUUAGAUACCCCAGUAGUC